rnacentral:RNase_P_RNA from 1 species
ACGAUGAACCAGGCUGCCGCGGGGGGUCCCAAAAAAGCCCCUGUUCCGUCAUUGUGCGGAAGGGACAUGGGCGCCGCCUGAGGAAAGUCCGGGCUCCGCAGGGCAUGAUGCCGGGUAACCCCCGGGCGGGAAUGGCCAAAGCCCUUCCCGACAGAAAGCGCAGCAGAAAAUAUACAGCCCCGGAGGGCGGCCCCAUCAGGGGCGGUCCUCCGGCGGUAAUGGUGAAAUGGCGGGUUAAAAGCCCACCGCGGCGCCGGCAACGGCAUCGCUGGCAAGCCUCAUCAGGAGCAAAAUCAAGCGGCGCCGCAGAAGUUCGCUUCUGUGCCAAUUGCCCGUUGGUCAAGCGCAGGUAGAUUGCCGGGGAUUUCCCCGGAGGCCGUCCGCAAGGCCGGUUCAAGACAGAUGGCAGUCAACGUCAAACCGCCUCCGGCGGUUUGACGACAGAACCCGGCUUAUGGUUCAUCGUUUUU